rnacentral:piRNA from 1 species
UAAGAAUAAUAAAGUAACAUUCAGGAUUUAG